UGCAGGGUAGCUCAGUGGUUAGAGAGCUGGCUUAGCACGUCAGAGGCCCCGGGUUCCAUUCCCAGCACUGCAU
rnacentral:tRNA from 1 species